UAGGGAAUCUUCGGCAAUGGACGAAAGUCUGACCGAGCAACGCCGCGUGAGUGAAGAAGGUUUUCGGAUCGUAAAACUCUGUUGUUAGAGAAGAACAAGGACGUUAGUAACUGAACGUCCCCUGACGGUAUCUAACCAGAAAGCCACGGCUAACUACGUGCCAGCAGCCGCGGUAAUACGUAGGUGGCAAGCGUUGUUCGGAUUUAUUGGGCGUAAAGCGAGCGCAGGCGGUUUCUUAAGUCUGAUGUGAAAGCCCCCGGCUCAACCGGGGAGGGUCAUUGGAAACUGGGAGAGUUGAGUGCAGAAGAGGAGAGUGGAAUUACAUGUGUAGCGGUGAAAUGCGUAGAUAUAUGGAGAAACACCAGUGGCGAAGGCGGCUCUCUGGUCUGUAACUGACGCUGAGGCUCGAAAGCGUGGGGAGCAAACAGG
rnacentral:rRNA from 1 species